rnacentral:rRNA from 1 species
AUGGGCCUAAAUGAUAGCCCGGCCCGUUUAAUAUUUCCGGUGUCCCACGGGCCCGAUCCAGCCGCCUGCUUCGACGACUUCUCUUCUUCUUCACAAGGAAGAAAGGAUACAGAGAGAGACAGAGAGAGGGCCACCCACACCCCCAUCCCCAGCCCCAGCCGAGCCGAGGUCUUCCGCCGACGAGCGAAACCAAGCCGCAUCAAGCCCCCACGCGCACCGAUGGACGCGACCGCGGCGGCGGCCGGAGGAGGAGACGGGACGCAGAGGACACUGAAUCCUUAUGUGACUGGUAAUUCGGUGAUUGCAAUGAAAUACAAGGAUGGUGUGAUCAUGGCAUGUGACACUGGAGCCUCCUAUGGGUCAACUUUGCGAUACAAGAGUGUGGAGCGUAUCAAGGAGGUUGGAAAGCAUAGCCUUAUUGGAGGGAGUGGGGAGUUCAGUGAUUUCCAGGAGAUUUUGCGGUAUCUGGAUGAAUUAACUUUGAAUGAUCAUAUGUGGGAUGAUGGCAACUCAUUGGGCCCCAAGGAAAUCCAUGCCUACCUGACAAGAGUAAUGUACAACAGGCGCAAUAAGUUUGACCCUCUAUGGAACUCCCUGGUGCUUGGUGGAGUGAAAAAGGGCCCAAAGGGCGAUGAGAAGUAUCUUGGCAUGGUUAACAUGAUUGGUACACACUUUGAGGAAAACCACAUUGCCACUGGAUUUGGGAACCAUAUGGCAAUCCCAAUACUUCGUGGUGAAUGGCGCGAGGACAUGACUUUUGAAGAAGCUGUUAAGCUGAUUGAGAAGUGCUUGCUGGUCCUGCUGUACCGUGACCGGUCAUCCAUCAACAAAUUCCAGAUUGCCAAGAUCACAACCGAGGGAUCAACCAUCUACCCGCCGUAUGCCCUGAAGACCAACUGGGGGUUUGCCGCCUUUGAGAACCCAUCCAAGGGUGCUGUAGGAACAUGGUAA